rnacentral:lncRNA from 13 species
CAUGAACUCCGGCUGUCCAAGGCUUUUGAUGAGGCGGUGAAGCUCUCAGCCCCCAUGGCUGGUGAGUCCCAGAGGCAGCACACUCCCCUCUCAACCAGAUCUCUCUGGUCGAGCAAGAAGACGAGCUGGAUGGGGUUCCUGUGUUUGGGGUAGAUGAGGAGGAGGAGGAGGAGUGGAACAUAGCCCUGCCCAAGAUGGCAUUGGGUGAUGUGGAGUCUGACAGAGAGUCAGCCGGACGACCUGACACACAACAUGCAGAGACUCAGGAUGAUGAUCAAAAUGCGACUGACAGAUUUCUUGAUGAAGUUUCACUUUCCAAAGUUAGAACAACUUCUGAGGAGGCUAGUCAAACUGCUGAGUACAGACUAACCAUACAAGGAGAAAGUCAUCUUUCAACUAACCACUCUCUGUCCUCUUUACCAGAGAACAGCUUGGAUGAAGGAAGUCUGAAUCGGUCUACGGCUGGGGGAUCCAGCCGUCAAGAGAGGUCAGAGAAUGUGUUCCAGAACCCAGCGAUGGGGGACAGAGAAGAGCCCCCCAUCUCUCCCCUCAUGAACAUCAAGGAUGAGCCCAUAGAUGAAGGAUAUGACUGUGCCCUUCUACCCUCAACACGGAAUAUCAAGGAGGAACUGGACAACACAACUCCUGAGGAGGAGCUGAGAAUCAGUUCUGUCUUUUCCGUUGGAGGAGGAAACUCCUAUGGCUCUUCCACUGGUGAGAGAAUCAGCAUAUUACAGUGCCUUUAG